rnacentral:rRNA from 1 species
GACGAACGCUGGCGGCGUGCUUAACACAUGCAAGUCGAACGGAAAGGCCCUGCUUUUGUGGGGUGCUCGAGUGGCGAACGGGUGAGUAACACGUGAGUAACCUGCCCUUGACUUUGGGAUAACUUCAGGAAACUGGGGCUAAUACCGGAUAGGAGCUCCUGCUGCAUGGUGGGGGUUGGAAAGUUUCGGCGGUUGGGGAUGGACUCGCGGCUUAUCAGCUUGUUGGUGGGGUAGUGGCUUACCAAGGCUUUGACGGGUAGCCGGCCUGAGAGGGUGACCGGCCACAUUGGAACUGAGAUACGGCCCAGACUCCUACGGGAGGCAGCAGUGGGGAAUAUUGCACAAUGGGCGGAAGCCUGAUGCAGCAACGCCGCGUGCGGGAUGACGGCCUUCGGGUUGUAAACCGCCUUCGCCUGUGACGAAGCGUGAGUGACGGUAAUGGGUAAAGAAGCACCGGCUAACUACGUG